CAAUGGGCGCAAGCCUGACGGAGCAAUACCGCGUGGGGGAGGAAGGUCUGUGGAUUGUAAACCCCUUUUCUCAGGGAAGAAGCUCUGACGGUACCUGAGGAAUCAGCAUCGGCUAACUCCGUGCCAGCAGCCGCGGUAAUACGGAGGAUGCAAGCGUUAUCCGGAAUUAUUGGGCGUAAAGCGUCCGCAGGCGGCUAGAUAAGUCUGCUUUCAAAGAGUGGGGCUCAACCCCAUAAAGGGAGUGGAAACUGUUUAGCUAGAGUAUGGUAGGGGCAGAGGGAAUUCCCAGUGUAGCGGUGAAAUGCGUAGAUAUUGGGAAGAACACCAGUGGCGAAGGCGCUCUGCUGGACCGAG
rnacentral:rRNA from 1 species